rnacentral:rRNA from 1 species
CAAUAGCGUAUAUUGAAGUUGUUGCGGUUAAAAAGCUCGUCGUUGGAUUUCUGUUGAGGUCGAACAGUGCCGCCCUAUGGGUGCGCAACUGGCUCGGCUUCGGCAUCUUCUUGGAGAGCGCAUCUGCACUUAACUGUGUGGAUCGUACUUCAAGUCAGUUACUUUGAGGAAUUGUGAGUGUUUCAAGCAGGCUUACGCCGUUGAAUCCGUUAGCAUGGAAUAAUAGGAUAGGACCUCGGUUCUAUUUUGUUGGUUUUGAGAGCUGGGGCAGCGAUUGAUAGGGACGGAUGGUGGCGUCCGAACUUUACUGUCAGAGGUGAAAUUCUUAGAUCGGUCAAAGGCGAACUACUGCGAACGCAUUCGCCAAGAAUGUUUUCUUUAA